rnacentral:lncRNA from 7 species
GGGGAAUGCGUGGCGCCGCUCUUAGAGAGCUUGAGUCCUCGGGCCCGUCCGUGGCUAGGGGUUUUUAAACCAAAGGGAGGUUAGCGAUUACGGCAAAAAUAAUACUUUACUCUGAGCUGGAACUUCUUACCAGCGAAUCUAAGCACUGUGCGUAGGGAUGGGGAAUCCAAGGUGGCAAAUGGAGGACUACAGAGACACUUGACAAGGCAGUUUUCAUAAUUAAAGUACGAGAAUAAGAAAGAAUCCUUGUGACAGCAUUGCCGAUAGGUGUGGACAAAGCUGUCUGCACUAAGAUGAAGGAAAAAUAUUCUGAUGUUUUCAUUCCAGAAAGCAAAAUGUCAGCAGCCAGCCUGGGUGGGCCAUACCAGGUGCCAGACAUGGGCCAGAGGGAUCCCAGCAAAGGCCCUGCCUUGAAAAUGGAGCCUGGAGGAUGGACAAGGCCACAAGGAAAGUGGCAGUGUUGUCUGCAGCAGCGUUAAGGCUUUUAGCAAUGGCAAAUCCUUUUUUUUUUCAGAUGAUAUGCACUUAGUAGCAGUAUAGCCAACUAGCUCAGAUUUGAUAGCUUACAGAGCUAAGAGUUUGUUAACAUUUCAUUGAUAAAGGAUAAGAAGGGAAAAUUGUGUUCCCAGAAAUUAAGUAAAUGGGAGGCUAGGACCUUGAAGAAAGGUAAACAGGGGAGAAAAGAAUGAGAGGGAGAAGUGUGGCCUUCUCUGCGAAGAUAUAAGGCCAUUGCUGCUUCUGUACCUGACUCAAAUACCCAGCUCAACCAUUGGCAAAAGAAGUGGAAAGCUUCACCAAGGACUUCAGGGAACGAGAUAACUGGUGCUGGGGAGCCAUAGAGAGCUGGGAAUCAGAUUCUCUGUACUGGAAGAUGAAGGGGAAGAUGCUUCAAAACUAGACCCUCCUUGCAUAUGCGAAAGGACAUAUGCCACGCUGGCUGGCUGAUGCUGCAGAGAGAAGGGAAUGAAGGUGGGGGAAAAUUAGAGUCCUUUGAGUCUGCUUGUUUCCUUCCAACCCUCGGAGAGUGUGUUUAUUCUGAAUUAUGGAUCAUAUUUUUUGUGAACCAUGGAACUCUGGAGUUACACUGUCUGUAGUUACACUACCUGCUUGCUGUGGUGGUUCAUCUGUCAGGAUGGAAAAGGUGAACCAUACAUUCAGAAAGAAUGUUUUAAUUAUAUUCCUGGUGUGAACUGUGGGCCAAAUUUCAAAUCUAGAGGGAGAGAGGUCAGCUGUGUUUGUAGGUCCAAAGAUUACGUGCAAGAAAUCAAGCAUUUAGACAAACAACCAAGAGAUCAGGAAUUCAUGGAUUUGUUGCCACACAGUUAUUUAUUCAGCUAAGAUUUUCUUGCAUAACUUCAAGUAGUGUUAUGAAUACUAGAGUUUCCUGGCAUGUACCCACAGAAGUAAGUAUUAAUGUGUGAUUAAUUCUUAAGUUUAGUAUAGCGAUACCUCUCAAGUAGUUAUUUGUUUUUAAAAGAAAAAAAAAAUUACAUUUAACUGGGUGGGAAACCAAAUCUUUCUAUUACCCGGGCCUUGUUCCCCAGCCUUGUGACAAGCUCCCAAGUUAAUACAUUUUAGUCACCACAGGCAUAUUUUGUCAAAACUUCUGGAGAAUGCUGACCCAGGAUAAGCCGAAGAAGAAAAACCGACGUAAGGCAUUGAACUAAUUGUGCAAUGCUUUAUGUGGAAAAGUGACUUCCUGAUGCCAGCGUUAGUAGGUGGUUCUUUCAAGCAUGGUGUUUAGCGAUCUACAUUUGGUUCUUCCAGAUAUAAAUAUUUUGCAUAUAAAUAUAACUUGUUUUAUCCAC